rnacentral:lncRNA from 1 species
GAUUUACAAGAAGAGCGUCGAACAUUGAGAGAGCAUCAAAAAAUGCAUCGGAGCAAGGCAAUGAAAUACUUGCUGGAGACAAACAGAAGAAGAAGAGCCUUUGAAGAAAGGCAGAAGGAAGUAGAAGCAAAAGAACAAAGAUUUAGAGAACAAGUUCUGCAGCAGAGGAGGAUUAAAUUUCAGGAGGCAACUGCUAAGUUCCAACAUGCUCAUCAGUCCUUUUCUCAGCACAAACAAACAGCUGUGAUCCCUCCAGUCCAGACAAAAGCAGCUUUUCAGUUAGAAGAAGCUCUUGAACAGAUUAAAGGAUCAGUUUUAACACCAGGACUGGGCUUGCCAAACAUAAACAAAAUCAACUUCAGGUAAGCAUUCCUGUUUACUCUGAAUAUUCAAUAAACAGAGGACAAUUACCUUUAAGAAAUUGUAG